GCCGGGCGUGGUAGCUCACGCCUGUAAUCCCAACACUUUGGGAGGCUGAGGCAGGUGGAUCACCUGAGGUCAGGAGUUUGAGACCAGCCUGACCAACAUGGUGAAACCCUAUCUCUA
rnacentral:SRP_RNA from 2 species